UACGGAGGAUCCAAGCGUUGUCCGGAUUUAUUGGGUUUAAAGGGUGCGUAGGCGGGUUAUUAAGUCAGUGGUGAAAGCCGGCAGCUCAACUGUCGAACUGCCCAUUGAAACUGAUAGCCUAGAAUCUAGUAGAGGGUAGGCGGAAUGUAUCAUGUAGCGGUGAAAUGCUUAGAUAUGAUACAGAACACCAAUUGCGAAAGCAGCUUACUAUGCUAGUAUUGACGCUGAGGCACGAAAGCGUGGGAUCAAACAGG
rnacentral:rRNA from 1 species